GAGUUAUCUAUUAUAUUGUGAUGAAGUUUCUCCUUUGAUGGCAAAGAUAACCAAUUGAGCGUCACCUUCCAAAAUGAAAUGAUGUUUUGUGGGCGUUGAAACAACUCAUAGGCAAUCAAAGUAUUUUCCUUGUUGUGGCCUAGAACAAAAGCCAUUUGAAGGGGAGAAAUAAUGCGAGGCAAAGUGGUCUUAAGGCGAUUGGCCAGCAUUUUGGUGAUAAUUUUGUAGAUAACGUUGGUCAGGCGAAUUGGUAAGAAGUGUUGUUGUGAACUUGGAUUGGUGAUUUUUGGAAUGAGAACAAUAUUUAUAUUGUUC